CCUACGGGAGGCAGCAGUGGGGAAUAUUGCACAAUGGGCGCAAGCCUGAUGCAGCCAUGCCGCGUGUGUGAAGAAGGCCUUCGGGUUGUAAAGCACUUUCAGCGGGGAGGAAGGCGUUAAGGUUAAUAACCUUGUCGAUUGACGUUACCCGCAGAAGAAGCACCGGCUAACUCCGUGCCAGCGGCCGCGGUAAUACGGAGGGUGCAAGCGUUAAUCGGAAUUACUGGGCGUAAAGCGCACGCAGGCGGUCUGUCAAGUCGGAUGUGAAAUCCCCGGGCUCAACCUGGGAACUGCAUUCGAAACUGGCAGGCUAGAGUCUUGUAGAGGGGGGUAGAAUUCCAGGUGUAGCGGUGAAAUGCGUAGAGAUCUGGAGGAAUACCGGUGGCGAAGGCGGCCCCCUGGACAAAGACUGACGCUCAGGUGCGAAAGCGUGGGGAGCAAACAGGAUUAGAUACCCCGGUAGUC
rnacentral:rRNA from 1 species